UGAUAUUAAAAAACACAUUUAGUUCAGGAAGAUCUCUCUUUCUCACUCCUCCCCCUUCCUCUAUUCGUUAGAUGUGCUUUAACAAGCUGAAUGAUCAAUGAUUCUUAAUUCCUUACAAAGAUUUUUCAGACUAAAGAGAGUCCUUGAGUGAAGAGCGGCACCCAGCUCAAAUAGUCAGCUUCAGUGAUCACUGACUCACAACAGUGACCGCUCAGCAGCUGCCUCCACCCUCCACACUGCGGCUGAGAGCGUCACAACAGCAGCGUUUCAGGCCUGAUUCUCACAGAGAUGUGUUUGAAAGAAAGACAGAGAGAAAAUUCUGUGAUGCCUUCUAAAGAAAAGACACUUCCUUCGAAGAGACACCUCUUCUCUGUUUUUUCAUCUUGUCAUGCAGUUAUCUCGAGUAGCCAAAAUAGCACAUACACACAAAGAAAUAAAAAAAAGGAGAGAAAAUUAUUUGUUUUAGGUAUAGCUAUAUUUAAUCAGAAGCUUGGUUCGGAGAGAUCUGGGGCUUUCUUCUGCUUGUGUUGGUUCUGGUUUGGUUGCAGCUUUUUAGUAUGACUAGAUAUACAUCAGCAAAGCUUAUAACCACACUAGUCAUGAUGACUCACAUACACUCA